rfam:Gasterosteus aculeatus cont1.008587, whole genome shotgun sequence.
CUGUGAUCUGGUUCAAGUAAUCCAGGAUAGGCUGUGUGUAUGUUUGUGAGCCUACUCGUGAUUACUUGCACUGGGCUGCAG